GACGAACGCUGGCGGCGUGCUUAACACAUGCAAGUCGAACGGAAAGGCCCUGCUUUUUUGGUGUGCUCGAGUGGCGAACGGGUGAGUAACACGUGAGUAACCUGCCCUUGACUUUGGUAUAACUUCAGGAAACUGGGCCUAAUCCCGUAUCGGAUCUCCUGCUGCAUGGUGGGGGUUGGAACGUGUCGGCGGUUGGGGAUGGACUCGCGGCUUAGCAGCUUGUUGGUGGGCUGGUGGCUUACCAAGGCUUGGACGGGUCGCCGGCCUGAGAGGGUGACCGGCCACAUUGGGAAUGAGAGACAGCACAGGCGCCUACGGGAGGCAGGGGGGGAGAAUAUUGCAGAAAGGGCGGAAGGGUGAUGAAGCAACGCCGGGUGCGGGAUGACGGCCUUCGGGUUGAAAAGCGCUUGGGCCAGAGACGAAGGGUGAGUGAGGAUAAAGGGAAAAGAAGCACCGGAUAACUACG
rnacentral:rRNA from 1 species